rnacentral:rRNA from 1 species
ACGGGAGGCAGCAGUGGGGAAUAUUGCACAAUGGGGGAAACCCUGAUGCAGCGACGCCGCGUGGAGGAAGAAGGUCUUCGGAUUGUAAACUCCUGUUGUUAGGGACGAUAAUGACGGUACCUAACAAGGAAGCCACGGCUAACUACGUGCCAGCAGCCGCGGUAAAACGUAGGUGGCAAGCGUUGUCCGGAAUUACUGGGUGUAAAGGGAGCGCAGGCGGAACGACAAGUUGGAAGUGAAACCCACAGGCUCAACCUGUGGCCUGCUUCCAAAACUGCCGUUCUUGAGUAGUGUAGAGGUAGGCGGAAUUCCCGGUGUAGCGGUGGAAUGCGUAGAUAUCGGGAGGAACACCAGUGGCGAAGGCGGCUUACUGGACUGUAACUGACACUGAGGCUCGAAAGCGUGGGAAGCAAACAGGAUUAGAUACCCUGGUA